AAACCUUCAAGCCUUCCUGUCUUCAUCCAUCAUGCUUUUAGGAGAAUAUCGACCCAUCUCUAAGAAUUUUUGAGUAUAUUCUAAUACAGUCAUGUCUUCUCGAACCAAGUGUGCAAACUCCAUCUCCUUCAGAUGUCGGAGAUACUUUGGGAGGUACUCUGCAUGAAAGGCCAUCAGGAACUGUUCUCAAGUAACUGGAAAGGGC
rnacentral:lncRNA from 1 species